GGACAUCACUGAAAAUGCAGUCUACUUAAAUAGCUAUUUGGAUAAUUAGAUAGAUCCAAUCAGUGGGGGAAAACCACAAAAGCAAUCAUUAGAUGAGAAAAUGCUCACGUUGAAAAUGCACUGGUGUCAGAAAGAAAGAAAAUGAUUUUUUUUUCAAAGCAACUAGAGUUUAGGGAAAAGUGCUGAGAAACCAGUUUCUUUUCAUAGGAAUGGGCGAGACUGAUUAUGCAUUUGUUAGUUCCGUCAGCACUGUUUGGAUACAAUAUAGAUGCAUUGAUUUUCAUGCAUAUGCUAUGUGUCCUUUUCCUACACAGAAAAUAUGGUGUUCACAAAAAAGAGAUGAGAUUUUUUGGUGGUUGAAAUAAUAAAUUCAACUUUUUGUCUUCAUCUUAAGUUAUUUUCCUUCUGAUCUUAAUAAAUUAUUUGUGAUUUAUUAUGAAGAAUAUUUGCCCAAGAAAAUUAAUUCCAGCAGAAGGUCAGACCUCAAACCUCUCAUUUUAUAGCUUCAUCUUUAGAGGAAGUUUUGGAAAUGGAAGCAGGAAAAGCAGAAGACAGGUCACUGCACAGACAAGGUCUUCCUUUAAUAGAUGGUCAGACCAGGAGAGAGCCUCAAACAUCAUAAUUCUACAGAGCCGGAGUUGACAGUGAAUAAUGACCAGGGGAGUGGUCAAUAAGACAGGAAAACAAGACUUGAGAAAUGGGGAGGAGUCAAAUCAUGAAGAACAGCUGAUACCAUGUCAGAGCGUGUGGAUUUUGUCUGGAAGAGCUUGUCUUUGGCCACCUGUGUCCUCAGCAGCUGGGAAAUGCAGACAGUGGACAGUAGGCAGCAGAGGGAAGAACCACUUCUGGAAUGGAAUCUGAGCUACAGAAGAUUCCAUCAACGAGCAGAAAGAGGUAGGCGUGCCAUGUCUUGUUAAUAGCAUUGAUCAUGUCUGGAAGUCACAGGUCAACAUGGUAAAGGCUACAAGGGAAAUAUAAUCCACGUUUUUGAAUCCUCCUGAAAACAUUGACUUAAGUCUCUCUCCUAGGCCUCCAUAUCAGAAGUGAUUUUUAAAAUAUUUAUAUCUAUACAGGUUUAAUUUUUUUUAAUAAAAGAAUGCAAUACACCCCA
rnacentral:lncRNA from 1 species